rnacentral:lncRNA from 15 species
GUGGUUUUCCUGCAAACAAGUUCUGCAAAAUGAAACUUUAAUAUGUCAAAGUUUGUAGUCAGUCACUAAAGUGUCUUUAUGGACAGUCUCUGUAUUCAGCUUCAUCAUGGCUGGACGCCUGUUGUUCGUCUUCCUCAUGUAUUCCUUUCACAAGAUUCAAGUUCAAGGUCAAAAACCACAGAUGAGUCUUCAGCAUUUUGAGGGUGAAUACAUUCUCUUUAUUUGCUCUCUGCCUGGAUCUGCUAAUAAUGAUAUGAGAUGUAACCUGUACUUUGGAGAAGAAAGGGAUCCAGUUAAAACAACAACCAUCUGGUAGAAAAGAAGCUCAACCAGUCAGUGGUUCUGCCAGUUUACUGUCACAAUUGAUGAUUUGCUGAGACGUCUAAGUUUAGAUCAACAAAGUGAUGCCAGCUGUGAUUACAGUUUGGGAAAUGAAUCCAGCUCUUUGUCUCCUCGUAGUGAUCGACACAACUUAACCUACAUUGUGGAAAAAGAAUCAAACUCAGGUCUCACACGAUCAGCAGUUAUUGUGACCACAGGUCUGAUUGUUAGCCGGCCUCAUGCUUCCACUCCUGUAACUCCUGCAACACAAACAUCACCUAACAGAAUUAUAGAUAUUGUGGAAAGAGAAUCAGGGAUGAUCCAGAUGAAAACAGUCACUAAGACCACAGGUAGUUUGACCUCAACUCACACAACUCUUAAGAAUCCAGAAUCUGGUGAUGAAGUAAAAGAAACGUGGAUAUUGAAGUUUGUAAUAGUUGUGACUGGUUGUGGUCUCACUGUGGGCGUCAUGGUGAUGGUUUCGGCAGUUCACUUCAACAGAAGAAGAGCUGGUUCUGAGGAAGUGAAAGAGCCUCUAAAUGAGUCUGUAAGUCUGACAUGUACAAUAUUAAAUACUUAUAUUAUAUUAUAAAUGAAUUUCUGCUACACUUGUUUUCUUUCUUUUCCCAGGUUUACAAAUAUGUUUUGUACACCACCAUCUCUGGGAAACCAGCUGCAUCUACCCUGAAGGACAUGGUGUACAGCCCCAUUACGACACACUGAAAUGUAAACUGAUUUGUAUAGACAGAGCAGAAAGCAUGAGUACCAGAUACACCAAUAU